GGUGGCGAACGGGUGAGUAACACGUGAGUAACCUGCCCUUGACUUUGGGAUAACUUCAGGAAACUGGGGCUAAUACCGGAUAGGAGCUCCUGCUGCAUGGUGGGGGUUGGAAAGUUUCGGCGGUUGGGGAUGGACUCGCGGCUUAUCAGCUUGUUGGUGGGGUAGUGGCUUACCAAGGCUUUGACGGGUAGCCGGCCUGAGAGGGUGACCGGCCACAUUGGGACUGAGAUGCGGCCCAG
rnacentral:rRNA from 1 species